rnacentral:ncRNA from 1 species
UUUUAGAAAUGAAAAAAUGGACUUUUGACGAGGCUAAAGAAAUCUUUAGCUUUUCGUUUAUGGAGCUGGUCUAUCAAGCUCAAACAAUACAUCGUGCUAAUUUUGAUCCUAAUAAGAUCCAAAUCAGCAGCCUCUUAAGCAUUAAAACAGGUAGUUGUCCUGAAAAUUGUAAAUUCUGUCCUCAAUCUUCUCACUAUAAAACUUAUGUAAAAAAAGAGCCUUUAAUGCAAAUUGAGGAUGUAAUUACGGCAGCAAAACGUGCUAAAGCAGCAGGUAGUACUCGCUUUUGUAUGGGAGCUGCGUGGCGUGGUCCACGUGAUGAGGAUUUAAAACUGGUUUGCGAGAUGAUUAAGG